AGAACAAAGUUGAAGAUGGACAUUCAAGGUUAGAAUAGUGGAACACUCUUAACCAGUGUUUGAAAUGCGAUUAAGGAGUUGUCGGUAUUCAAACGCCAGUUAAAGGUCAUUGUAUUUUGAAGUAUGGUUAAGGUAUCCGGGUCUCUUUUUACAAUAAUUAACCUAGAAAUUCAUAUGCAUUUAGAUUCAAUCAUACAAUUUCUACAUCCAAUUCAUAUCCAUGC
rnacentral:lncRNA from 1 species